rnacentral:tRNA from 1 species
AGCACGAUGGCCGAGUGGUUAAGGUGUUGGACUUAAGUUCCAAUGGACAAGUGUACGCGUGGGUUCGAACCCCACUCGUGCUA